GUAACUGCGAGUGAAGAGGGAACAGCUCAUCAUUGGAAUCAGACAGGGCUUGACUCUGUCCGAGUUGUAGAUGAGACGAGUAGGUUCAUCUGGACUGCAUGGCACUCAAGUACGAUAAUGCCCAUCAGUGGGACAUCAUAGAGGGUGACAAUCCCGUCUUUGGUGCCGAUGUUCGAGUCCUUUACGAUGCCUAUCUCAGGAGAGUCGAGCAGUUUGGGAUUUGCUGCUUCAACAUGGGAGGUAGACACCUUCUAAAGCUAAAUAUUGGCAAGAGACCGAUAGUGGACAAGUACCGCAAGGGAAAGAUGAAAUAGCACUCUGUAAAGGGAGUCAAAAGACGUGAAAUUGUUGCGAGAGAAGCGAUUCAAGUCAGCUUGACUAGGACCAUCGACGAUUCUUUCGUCUGGACUAGUCUCGCCAGCGGUCUCAUCCUUCGAUGGGGUUUGACCGAUGCGCCCUCAGUUGCGCGGCUGGUGGAAUGGCUUGCAAUCGACCCGUCUUGAAACACGGACCAAGGAGUCUAACAUGCAUGCAAGUAUAAGGGUGACAAACCCGUAUGCGCAAUGAAAGUGACUUUCGGUGAUUGCUGUGUGGCCUGACGACCAGACACGAAACGUGUUGUCCCUCGAAUGGCCACUGCCCAGGUUCCGUGGUACGAUCCCAUGAACAUGGAGACGGAGCAUGCAUGCUAGGACCCGAAAGAUGGUGAACUAUGCCUGGACAGAGCGAAGCCAAAGGAAACUCUGGUGGAGGCUCGUAGCGAUUCUGACGUGCAAAUCGAUCGUCUGAUCUGGGUAUAG
rnacentral:rRNA from 1 species